rnacentral:misc_RNA from 1 species
GAACGCACAUUGCGCCCUAUGGUAUUCCGUAGGGCAUGCCUGUCUGAGCGUCAACUCCCACCCUCUCAAGUCUUUCUUUUGCUAGGAGAUUUGGAUUGCUUUGAGGAAGUAUCAUUUUUUUUAUGCUGCUCCUCAGAAAUUUAUAGGCAGUAUGGUCAAACCUGAACCAGGCGUAAUAAUUCUAUAAAAUCGUCUAAUGAAAGGAAAGUCUGUAUUAGUCUUUAACCAAUUUCUAUUUUUUUUUUUUGGGUGACCUCAGAUCAGGUAGGGAUACCCGCUGAACUUAAG